AUGGGGGAGCAGCAGCAGCACAAGAAGAGGCCACGGUGCUCCGCGAGCGCGGAGGGGAGCGGCGGCAAGAAGUCGAGCGUCCUGGCGCUAUCCAGCAGUCCGGUGGCCACCGCGGCACCAUCGGCACCGGCGGCGCCCAGCCCUGUUGCCACGGCAAAGCAGGGCCCCGCGGUGGCGGUGACCAGUCCCCUGGCCGCCAUGCCGCCGGCGCCGGCCGCGCCCAGUCCAGCGGCCACGACGGAGGGAGACAUGACUACGCCAGCCGCCACGGUCGUGGUGACCAGCCCAGUGGCCGCCAUGGCGCCGGCGCCGGCGGCCCCCGGUUCAGCUGCCAUGGUGGUGGACCUGGAGCCGACCAGUCCAGUGGCCACUGUGAAGCCAGUCCGCGUGGUGAAGCCGGAAGACGAAGUGGCCGAACAAGAAGAUGCGGCAAUGUUAGCCGGGGCGGCGGAAGAUGUGGAGGUCGCCAUCUUGGCCUUGCCGAAGAAGUCGUUUCACUGCGCCGCCUGUCUUUGCCCCCUCAAGCCUCCAGUAUUCAGGUGCGAGAACGAGCACUUCGUGUGCCACGCCUGCGGCGGCGACGGCGGCGCGAACAAGCGCUGCGGUCCAUGCGGGCGCGACGUGUCCUACACCCACUCCCGCUUCAUGAACGGCGUGGUCGACGCCUACAAGCGGCGGCAAGAAGUCGAGCGUCGCGGCGCUAGCCCGCAGUCCGGCGGCCACCGUGGCACAGGCGGCGCUGGCGCCCAGCCCCGUUGCCAUGGCAAAGCCAGCCGCCACCGUGGCGGAGACCACUCCUCUGGCCGUCAUGCCGCCGACGCCUACGUCCCCCACGGUGUCGGACCUGGCAGCAGCGGCACCCAGUUCAGCGGCCCUUGCGACGCAAGAUGCCACGGUAGAGGACCUGGUGGUGACCAGUCCAGUGGCCGCCAUGGCGCCGGCGCCGGCGGCCCCAGUCCAGUAGCCAUUGUGAAGCCGGUGCGCGUGGUGAAGCCGGAGGAUGAAGGCGCCGAAGUGGCCGAACAAGAACAUGGGGCAAUGGCGGAGGAAGAGGGGGAGGCCGUCAAUCUGGACCUGCCGAAGAAAUUGUUCCACUGCGCCGCCUGUCCUGGCCCCCUCAGGCCUCCAGUUGUCAAGUGCGAGAACGAGCAUCUCGUGUGCCACGCCUGCGGUGGCGACGGCGACGGCGGCGGCGGCGCGACCAAGCACUGCGUGGCGUGCCCCUACAAGCGUUUCGGCUGCGCGAGGUCCAUGGCCUACCACUCGGCCGCCGACCACGCGGCCAGCUGCAGGCACGCGCCCUGCUACUGCUUCGACUGCCGGUUCGACGGCUCGCCUGUGAGCCUCGUGCGCCACCUGACGGCGCGGUCCGGGCAACACUCGUGGCCGGUGGAGAAGAUCGAGUACGAGGUGGCCAAACCGUUCGUCGUGCCUGCAUCGUCGGAGGACCAGCGCCGCCUGCUGGUCGCGGAAGACAACUGUGUGUUCCUCCUGGGCGUGGGCGCCGGCAGGGACCCGGGCGGCCGCCGUCCCGUCAACGUCGUCUGCGUCCGGGGCAACGCGCGGCCUCUGUACACGGGCGUGCUCUGGGUAGACGGUCCUCCGGCGGCCCCGGGCCAGCCACUCACGAGCAGCUUCCAGCUGAAGGCGAUGGUGGCGAGCUGCUCCGUCCCCGGCGCCGUGGACAUGGAGCAGGGUUGGCUCCACGCGCAUGCCAACCCCAACAUGCUGCACGGAGAGUCCGGCGAGCUUCAUCUGCGCCUUUGUCUCACCAAGCUCUCCUGA
rnacentral:rRNA from 1 species